GUACCAUAACCGACACAGGUGGGUAAGUAGAGUAUACUAAGGGGCGCGAGAUAACUCUCUCUAAGGAACUCGGCAAAAUAACUCCGUAACUUCGGGAGAAGGAGUGCCUUAUUCUUAAGGUUGCAAUAACAAGAUCCAAGCAACUGUUUAUCAAAAACACAGGUCUCCGCUAAGUCGUAAGACGAUGUAUGGGGGCUGACGCCUGCCCAGUGCCAGAAGGUUAAAGAAGUCGGUUAGCAAUAGCAAAGCUGGUAACUGAAGCCCUGGUGAACGGCGGCCGUAACUAUAACGGUCCUAAGGUAGCGAAAUUCCUUGUCGGGUAAGUUCCGACCCGCACGAAAGGCGUAAUGAUUUGGAUGCUGUCUCGGAGAGGGGCUCGGUGAAAUAGACUUGUCUGUGAAGAUGCGGACUACCUGCACCAGGACAGAAAGACCCUAUGGAGCUUUACUGUAACUUGAAAUUGAAAUUGGACUUUAUUCGCGCAGUAUAGGUGGGAGGCGUUGAUUAUAAUCUUGUGGGAUUAUUGGAGCCAUCAGUGAGAUACCACUCUUGUAAUGUUAGAUUUCUAACUUUGAAUCAUUAUCUGGUCAAAGGACAGUUUCAGGCGGGCAGUUUGACUGGGGCGGUCGCCUCCUAAACGGUAACGGAGGCGUACAAAGGUUUCCUCUGAACGGUUAGAAAUCGUAUCUAGAGUGUAAAGGCAUAAGGAAGCUUGACUGUGAGACCUACAAGUCGAGCAGGGACGAAAGUCGGUCUUAGUGAUCUGACGGUACUGAGUGGAAAGGCCGUCACUCAACGGAUAAAAGUUACUCUAAGGAUAACAGGCUGAUCUCCCCCAAGAGUUCACAUCGACGGGGAGGUUUGGCACCUCGAUGUCGGCUCAUCGCAUCCUGGGGCGGUAGUACGUCCCAAGGGUUGGGCUGUUCGCCCAUGAAAGCGGUACGCGAGCUGGGUUCAGAACGUCGUGAGACAGUUCGGUCCAUAUCCGGUGUAGGCGCUAGAAUAUUGAGAGGAGCCUUCUUUAGUACGAGAGGACCGAGAAGGACAUACCUCUGGUGUACCAGUUAUCGUGCCAACGGUAAACGCUGGGUAGCUAUGUAUGGAGUGGAUAACCGCUGAAAGCAUCUAAGUGGGAAGCCCACCUCAAGAUAAGUAUUCUCAUCACGUAAGUGAGUAAGGUCACGGUAAGACUAACCGUUUGAUAGGCAUUAAGUGUAAGUACAGUAAUGUAUGUGCUGAGAUGUCCUAAUAGACCGAGGACUUG
rnacentral:rRNA from 1 species